AACUGGCCCAGGCACCACAUCUCUCUCUUCCUGGGAGUCCAGUCGUACUUCAGAUCAGAGAACCAAGGCCUGAGGUCCCAAAGCCACAAUGUGGAGAGCAUGUGACCUCUCUCCAACAGUCAUCAGAAGCCAACAUGAACAGAACCUGUGACCCACAAAGAAAAGGUGACAUGAGGAGGCUCCAGGCCUGUGAUAGCUUGCAACAGCACAGGGGAAUUGUGGUGCUGAAGGCCAGGCUGCUGAGUGUGAGCCCCCCACAAGCUCACCCUGUUCCUUAUGUCCUGAGAUCUCCCUGAAUUCCUGCCACAGGACCAUCAGUUUUUUUUUUUUCCCACUCCACCUUCUUUUUGUUUUUUAUAGACUCCUAUUUAUUCUACCUUCAGUGCCCCAUUUAUACACAGCCAUUCCUGAUACUCCAGUGAUAGCCUCCAGUGUCCUCCGGGUCCCUGCUAUGCCAGCACUAUGCUCCUGUCCUAGGCCUGAGUCAUGAGCCCAGGUUAGGUAGGAGGCUC
rnacentral:lncRNA from 1 species